rnacentral:rRNA from 1 species
UACGUAGGGUGCAGGCGUUAAUCGGAAUUACUGGGCGUAAAGUGUGCGCAGGCGGCCGAGCAAGUCGAGUGUGAAAGCCCCGAGCUUAACUUGGGAACUGCGCUCGAAACUACUUGGCUAGAGUGUGGCAGAGGGAGGUGGAAUUCCACGUGUAGCGGUGAAAUGCGUAGAGAUGUGGAGGAACACCGAUGGCGAAGGCAGCCUCCUGGGCCAACACUGACGCUCAUGCACGAAAGCGUGGGGAGCAAACAGG